GUCUAACGGCGCUCGUCAAUGUCAAAAUGUUCGCAAUGGCCAAUCAAAUCAAAGAAGGCGGGGCUUACCGUUCACAGAAACUGAAAAAAAAUGAAGGUGGUCUAACGGCGCUCAUCAAUGUCAAAAUGUUUGCGAUGGCCAAUCAAAUCAAAGAAGGCGGGGCUUACCGUUCACAGAAACC